UGGGGAAUAUUGGACAAUGGGCGAAAGCCUGAUCCAGCCAUGCCGCGUGUGUGAAGAAGGUCUUCGGAUUGUAAAGCACUUUAAGUUGGGAGGAAGGGCAUUAACCUAAUACGUUAGUGUCUUGACGUUACCGACAGAAUAAGCACCGGCUAACUCUGUGCCAGCAGCCGCGGUAAUACAGAGGGUGCAAGCGUUAAUCGGAAUUACUGGGCGUAAAGCGCGCGUAGGUGGUUUGUUAAGUUGAAUGUGAAAUCCCCGGGCUCAACCUGGGAACUGCAUUUGUGACUGUAUAGCUAGAGUACGGCAGAGGGGGAUGGAAUUCCGCGUGUAGCGGUGAAAUGCGUAGAUAUAGGAAGGAACACCAGUGGCGAAGGCGACUACCUGGACUGAUACUGACAGUGAGGUGCGAAAGCGUGGGGAGCAAACA
rnacentral:rRNA from 1 species